rnacentral:rRNA from 1 species
GAGUAACACGUGAGUAACCCUCCCUUGACUCUGGGAUAAGCCCGGGAAACUGGGUCUAAUACCGGAUAUGACCUCCUGUCGCAUGGUGGGGGGUGGAAAGAUUUAUCGGUCUUGGAUGGACUCGCGGCCUAUCAGCUUGUUGGUGAGGUAAUGGCUCACCAAGGCGACGACGGGUAGCCGGCCUGAGAGGGUGACCGGCCACACUGGGACUGAGACACGGCCCAGACUCCUACGGGAGGCAGCAGUGGGGAAUAUUGCACAAUGGGCGCAAGCCUGAUGCAGCGACGCCGCGUGAGGGAUGACGGCCUUCGGGUUGUAAACCUCUUUCAGUAGGGAAGAAGCCUUCGGGUGACGGUACCUGCAGAAGAAGCGCCGGCUAACUACGUGCCAGCAGCCGCGGUAAUACGUAGGGCGCGAGCGUUAUCCGGAAUUAUUGGGCGUAAAGAGCUCGUAGGCGGUUUGUCGCGUCUGCCGUGAAAGUCCGGGGCUUAACCCCGGAUCUGCGGUGGGUACGGGCAGACUAGAGUGCAGUAGGGGAGACCGGAAUUCCUGGUGUAGCGGUGAAAUGCGCAGAUAUCAGGAGGAACACCGAUGGCGAAGGCAGGUCUCUGGGCUGUUACUGACGCUGAGGAGCGAAAGCAUGGGGAGCGAACAGGAUUAGAUACCCUGGUAGUCCAUGCCGUAAACGUUGGGCACUAGGUGUGGGGGACAUUCCACGUUUUCCGCGCCGCAGCUAACGCAUUAAGUGCCCCGCCUGGGGAGUACGGCCGCAAGGCUAAAACUCAAAGGAAUUGACGGGGGCCCGCACAAGCGGCGGAGCAUGCGGAUUAAUUCGAUGCAACGCGAAGAACCUUACCAAGGCUUGACAUGUUCUCGAUCGCCACAGAGAUGUGGUUUCCCCUUUGGGGCGGGUUCACAGGUGGUGCAUGGUUGUCGUCAGCUCGUGUCGUGAGAUGUUGGGUUAAGUCCCGCAACGAGCGCAACCCUCGUUCCAUGUUGCCAGCGGGUUAUGCCGGGGACUCAUGGGAGACUGCCGGGGUCAACUCGGAGGAAGGUGGGGACGACGUCAAAUCAUCAUGCCCCUUAUGUCUUGGGCUUCACGCAUGCUACAAUGGCCGGUACAAUGGGUUGCGAUACUGUGGGGUGGAGCUAAUCCCAAAAAGCCGGUCUCAGUUCGGAUUGGGGUCUGCAACUCGACCCCAUGAAGUCGGAGUCGCUAGUAAUCGCAGAUCAGCAACGCUGCGGUGAAUACGUUCCCGGGCCUUGUACACACCGCCCGUCAAGUCACGAAAGUCGGUAACAC